rnacentral:rRNA from 1 species
CUCUUGUGAAAUCGGGCCUCUUAAGGGUCCGGCGUGCAAGAGAUACUACAAAGCUAGGGACCGGGAGACGUAAGAAGUACGCACAGGGUAGCGGUAAAAUGCGUUGAUCCAGUGCGGACUAACGAUAGCGAAGGCAUCUUACGAGAACGGAUCUGACAGUGAGGGAUGAAGGCUAGGGGCGCAAAACGGAUUAGAUACCCGUGUAGUCCUAGCAGUAAACCCUGCACACUAAACAUCGGUACCUCCUCGAGAGGUGUCGGUGCUGAAGGGAAGCCGUAGAGUGUGCUACCUGGGAAGUAUAGUCGCAAGGCCGAAACUUAAAGGAAUAGGCGGCGGGAUACUACAACCAGUGACGCGUGCGGUUCAAUUAGAUUCUACACCGUGAACCUCACCAGGAUCGAUAGCAGAAUGAAGGUCAGUCUAAAGGGCUUACCUGACACGCUAAGAGGAGAUGCAUGGCCGACGUCAGCCUGUGUCGUGAGAUGAUCUGUUAAAUCAGGUAACAGGCGAGACCCGUGUGCACAUUUGC